rfam:Homo sapiens chromosome 4, GRCh38 reference primary assembly.
GCCAGGUGUGGUGGUGCACACCUGUGGUCCUAGCUACUCAGGAGGCUGAGGUGGGAGGAUCUCUUGGGCCCAGGAAUUUGAGGCUGCAGUGAACUGUGAUCGUCCCACUGCACUCUAGCCUGGGUGACAGAGUGAGACCCUGUCUUAA